UACAGAGGGGGCAAGCGUUAUUCGGAAUUAUUGGGCGUAAAGGGCGCGUAGGCGGCCUUUCAAGUGACGGGUGAAAUCCCUCGGCUUAACCGAGGAACUGCCUGUCAGACUGGGAGGCUUGAGACCGGGAGAGGUGAGUGGAAUUCCCAGUGUAGCGGUGAAAUGCGUAGAUAUUGGGAGGAACACCAGUGGCGAAGGCGGCUCACUGGACCGGUACUGACGCUGAGGCGCGAAAGCGUGGGGAGCAAACAGG
rnacentral:rRNA from 1 species